GGCGAACGCAGGAGGGGCAGCCGUGUCCAGUGCUGCACUGUGUCCGGUGGCAGAGGCCUGUGCCAGUGGGAAGAUGGGCUCAAGUUCCCUGGUGUGAAGAGAAGACAAAAUGCUGCCCUCCGCACCUCUUUCAGGAAAUCCUCCUGUAUUAUAUUUUGAAUGCAGCUCCCUCCACCAUCUGGGAUGGAGUCAUUGCUUUACAGCAGUCAUAGCUGCUGUCAUGAAAGAUGAAGCUGGUCUCCAGGACACUAGGAGGUUGCAAAGAGCCACAUGAGUUUAUUGGAUAUGACAGAAUUUCUCCAAGUGGGGAAGCUAAAUUAAGCAAAUGAGUCUUGCACCGUCACCCAGGCUGGCGUGCAAUGGUGCCAUCUCGGCUCACUGCAACUUCCGUCUCCCAGGUUCACGCGAUUCUCCUGUCUCAGCCUCCCGAGUAGCUGUGAUUACAGGCGCGCACUACCACAUCCGGCUAAUUCUUUGUACUUUUAGUAGAGACAGGGUUUCGCUCUGUUGGCCACACUGGUCUGGAACUACUGACCUCAUGAUCUGCCCGCUUCGGCCUCCCAAAGUGCUGGGAUUACAGGCAUGAACCACCAUGCCCGGCCAGAAAACCCUAUUGUUAACGGGAAAGUAAUAUUGUAACGAUAUCUGUUCUCCCAAAAUUAAAAUACAAAUUUA
rnacentral:lncRNA from 10 species